rnacentral:rRNA from 1 species
GAUGAACGCUGGCGGCGUGCUUAAUACAUGCAAGUCGAGCGAACAGACGAGGAGCUUGCUCCUCUCACGUUAGCGGCGGACGGGAGAGUAACACGUGGAUAACCUACCUAUAAGACUGGGAUAACUUCGGGAAACCGGAGCUAAUACCGGAUAAGAUAUUGAUCCGCAUGGUUCAAUAGUGAAAGACGGUUUUGCUGUCACUAAUAGAUGUAUCCGCGCCGCAUUAGCUAGUUGGUAAGGUAACGGCUUACCAAGGCAACGAUGCGUGGCCGACCUGAGAGGGUGAUCGGCCACACGGGAACUGAGACACGGUCCAGACGACUGCGGGAGGCAGCAGUAGCGAAUCUUCCGCAAUGGGCGGAAGCAUGACGGAGCAACGCCGCGUGAGUGAUGAAGGUCUUCGGAUCGUAAAACUCUGUUAUAAGGGAAGAACAAAUGUGUAAGUAACUAUGCACGUAGUGACGGUAACUAAUCAGAAAGCCACGGCUAACUACGUG